AGCUCCAAUAGCGUAUAUUAAAAUUGUUGCGGUUAAAAAGCUCGUAGUUGGAUAUCUGCUGAGUGGUUUCGGUACUUCCCAGUGAAGAUUACACGGAACUAUUCUUGGCAUUUGUUCAGGGAAAGUUUCUGCACUUGAUUGUGUGGGACAGGAACUGAAUUUUUACUUGAGGAAAUGAGAGUGUUUCAAGCAGGCAUUUGCCGUGAAUAUGAUAGCAUGGAAUAAUAGCACAGGACUCUUGGUUCAAUGCUGUUGGUUUGUUGAACUAGAGUAAUCACAAUAAGGAUAGUUGGGGGUAUU
rnacentral:rRNA from 1 species